UGGCUCAGUUGGUAGAGAAUGGCAUUUGCAAUGCCAGGGUUGUGGGUUUGAUUCCCAC
rfam:Salmo salar isolate Sally breed double haploid chromosome ssa19, whole genome shotgun sequence.